CAGCACAUGCCAUUCACGUCAGACUAAAAUACAAGUUUCGUCGCCAUCUAUGAUUCACAUUUACAACUACUGAUAUGGAUCUAAGUCUUCGUUACGCAAGACCGCCGCCAUUUGUUUUCGAGCACUGAUUGAAAGCGUAUGGCGUAUCGUUAGACAAUCCGUACGGCGUAUUUUCCUUCCUCACAUUUUUCUUCAUAAAAAUGAUGGUUGCGUGAUAACCUAGCCAAUAAUUUCUACUUGGAAAUUUCAGCUGAUCAUGUGGCCUGAGCAGAACCUGAGCAUCUGUACAUUUUGCCAAGAUGUCAUCUCUUUUUCCUGUACUGGCUGUACGUUUUGUAAGAAACACUUAAGAACAAAUCAGUUUGGUAAAGUCUAAGCUUCUUUGUUGCUACCCAAUGUACACAUGGAUUUGAUGCAGCCAGCUGGUAAAGGGUGUUCCUACUGCUGUGUUUUCGUCAAAUGAAGAAACACAAACAACUGAAGUUUAUCGUGUAUGUUCGCGUAGUUGCUGUCCGAUGUGGCACGUUGUUGCAGCCUAUGUUGG